rnacentral:rRNA from 2 species
ACAAGGUUUCCGUAGGUGAACCUGCGGAAGGAUCAUUAA